rnacentral:antisense_RNA from 1 species
CAGAGUGGACGCCGAGCCGAGGAGUAGCCAAGAGCGAUGAAACAAGCUUCCGGUUCAAGGGUUUCUUCAGGUUCCACUACGGGCUGUUCUUCUGCAGGUGCGCCGAUGUCCACAGUGCUACCUUCUGAUGAGCUACUGCUUUCAUUCAGUUUCUGCUGACUUAAUAUGUGAGCUGACAGAAUGCAGAGACGACCACGUUGUAUGUGAAGCAUCCACUUUGCCUUGUACACCAGGGCAUUCAAUAACCACUUAAUAACUACAACCCUGAUGAUGAGGUCUCGCUAUGUUGCCUAGGCUAGUCUUGAACUCCUGGCCUCAAGUGAUCCUUUUGCCUCAGCAUCCGGAGUCACUGGGAUUAAAGGCAUGAGCCACCGUGCUCAGAAUACAAACAAAGACCCAUUUUUCUAGAAGAAGUAACGGGGAAGACAGAGUAAGAAAGAGAUAAUGAUGAACAUUGUCUAAUGUUACAGCAUAAUCUAGUAAGGAACUUGACAUCAUCAGACAGUAAAUCAAGAGGUACUGACAACUGAGACUGAGUGAUGGUCCCUGCCUAGGAUUUGGAAUCUUUGCAUGAAAUAGGGACUCUAGCCACCAGCGACAAAGAAGUCAGGGAGACUGU